ensembl:lncRNA
CACACACGCACUACUAUCAUCUUAAUGUAUAUAGAAGCGUUUCACUUGUAUGUGUGAGAGCUUUUCAGUAGUGUAUAUAAGAGCGUUUUACUUGUAUGUAUGAGAGCUUUUCAGUAGUGUAUAUAAGAGCGUUUCACUUGUAUGUAUAAGAGCUUUUCAAUAGUGUAUAUAAGGGCGUUUCACUUGUAUGUGACUGUUUCAGUAGUGUAUAUAAAAGCUUUCACUUGUAUGUGUGAGAGCGUUUCAGUAGUGUGUGCGAGCGAAUAAUCUUCCAGUUGUUUAUGUGAGAGUGUUUCAGUAGUGUAUGUGUCACGGGUUGGAUAUUAAUUGUGCAUGUAUUUUGAUUAUGUUUGUGACUUGAUUUACUGUGAUUUUGGUUUGGAUAUUGUGUUUGGUUUAGUGUUGUGAUUGGUGUUUUGUUUGUAGUGCUUUUGUGUUAUUUUUCUAUUCGUUAAUUUGCUAACAACCCGUGAACUUCGACCUGUACAACGAGGCUAUUGAUUGGACUGUAGAAUAAGAACAGGAAAUAAAGACCGGACACCGAGAGGAAGGUGGACAGAGAAGAAGGCUACCGGAGGCAGCUCGAAGAGGUGGAAAAUCAAUACGUGAGACACAAGAGCUACGAGCCAGAGGAUCCCGUAUACCCAUAAGGCUAGACGUGCGCAUCCCGGGGAAUGGGCUACUACUGCCUGUGACCCGGGGAGAGUCCCUUUCCUGCCAGUAUACAGUUAGACGAAGGCCGAACUCCGGUGGAAAGAAGCUGAUUGCUCGGCUGGUCGCCGGUGUACGCUGCAUCUCAGGGACUGGGACAUUUGCAUGGAUAUGGUUUUUCAUAUAUUUUAUUGCUCGAUGUUUUAAGUAUUGUAAUGUAAUUUAUUGUUAAUGUAAAGACAUAUUGAAGUUGUGGUGCAAUAAAAUAUUGAUUAAAGUAUAGCUUCGCCUUUGGGAUACUUUAUACACUGCUCCUCCCUCCAAACGAACCUGAGCAUAGUUUGUAGUCUGAUGAGAAGUUAUUGUAACUUUUGGUUGAGUUCCUAGAGCUCUUGUUAGUUCUAGGUGGCGUUGUCGAUAGGAAAAAUAGAUCAGCCCGACCUGGUCACAUAUGUAAGAGCAUUUCACAUGUGUUUGUGUGAGGUAUUUCUGAAUAAUGUCCCUGACGGCCCCUCAUAUGAUAACGCGGCGCACACUCUCUCCGGCCAGGAGUUGCAUUUGGCAGUGUCACGCUGCUGUGGUGUACGGAGGGGAAAAGCGACGCUAUG